CGCCCGCUAUUGUUUGAGUUUUCAAUUUACUGAAUGAAUUACAGAUUAAUUUGAUGUUCACUGGGCUGUGUUCAUAUCGUCGAGGGUGCGAGGGGGAUUAUUUUUUUAAACUCAAGUUCAAUGGGAGGAGUGGAAGAAAAAUGUUGAGAUGAUGGAUCGUGCCUCGUGUUCUCGCUUCUGAUUAAAAAAGGAGAGAUCGCGGGCUUAUGACACUUGACUCCGGAAAGUUUUGGAGGUUAUUGUGGAAAAAAAUGAGGUAAUAUUGUAGAAUUUAUUGCUUCUGUCAAUGGGACAGGUUAUGGACGAUUUUGUGAGGAAUUGAGGAUUUUUCGGAUGGAAAAGGAAAGGGGGAAGGAUAACUACAAAAAAGGCAAAUCUUCAAUCGUGAAUUUUUCCUCAGAUUUCGGCGAUUUUUCAGUCAAUAAACUAUAUAAUUUCCGUUCACCCUCCACCUCCGAGAGAAAAAAUUGCCGAAUUUUCACUGCAAUUGUUCCACUUUUCCGUGGAAUCCUAAUCCCCGGAGAUAUCAGAGUUUCCUCUCAGCCCAGAGACACCGUGAAAUAACAAGUCCAAAGCUGUUAGUUCGAGGAAAAGUACCCCUGGCUCUCGUUCUCUCUAAGAGACAGGUGCCUCGGUGAAACUGUUUCUUCAACUUCCUAUGACGCCGGUGUGCGUUCCCUCUGCCACUUCCGACGGAAAUCCCGGCUAGACAUCCUGUCGUGUCUUCGACUUGCCUCAACAUGGUGCUCACAUCAGCGUCUUUGGUGCUUGUAGGAGUGUUUCCUUGUUCAGGUCACCGCACACCGAGCUACACUGCCUACUUCGGUGCACCAAUUAGCGGCGUGAGGGAUUCUUGAUCACAAAGACAAUUUCAAGGGAGAUGAAUCAGACUUACGUACUCGAAGAAGCUUUAGGGCGAAUAUUCUCAAGUUUAUGGCCUGCGAGAAGUGUUCUACCGGAAAUUUCCACCUUUAGUUUUCAAAAUCAAUACGGAAAUGGAACGGGG